rnacentral:rRNA from 1 species
AUCAAGGCUGAGGCGUGAUGACGAGGCACUACGGUGCUGAAGCAACAAAUGCCCUGCUUCCAGGAAAAGCCUCUAAGCAUCAGGUAACAUCAAAUCGUACCCCAAACCGACACAGGUGGUCAGGUAGAGAAUACCAAGGCGCUUGAGAGAACUCGGGUGAAGGAACUAGGCAAAAUGGUGCCGUAACUUCGGGAGAAGGCACGCUGAUAUGUAGGUGAAGCGACUUGCUCGUGGAGCUGAAAUCAGUCGAAGAUACCAGCUGGCUGCAACUGUUUAUUAAAAACACAGCACUGUGCAAACACGAAAGUGGACGUAUACGGUGUGACGCCUGCCCGGUGCCGGAAGGUUAAUUGAUGGGGUUAGCGGUAACGCGAAGCUCUUGAUCGAAGCCCCGGUAAACGGCGGCCGUAACUAUAACGGUCCUAAGGUAGCGAAAUUCCUUGUCGGGUAAGUUCCGACCUGCACGAAUGGCGUAAUGAUGGCCAGGCUGUCUCCACCCGAGACUCAGUGAAAUUGAACUCGCUGUGAAGAUGCAGUGUACCCGCGGCAAGACGGAAAGACCCCGUGAACCUUUACUAUAGCUUGACACUGAACAUUGAGCCUUGAUGUGUAGGAUAGGUGGGAGGCUUUGAAGUGUGGACGCCAGUCUGCAUGGAGCCGGCCUUGAAAUACCACCCUUUAAUGUUUGAUGUUCUAACGUUGGCCCCUGAUCGGGGUUGCGGACAGUGUCUGGUGGGUAGUUUGACUGGGGCGGUCUCCUCCUAAAGAGUAACGGAGGAGCACGAAGGUUGGCUAAUCCUGGUCGGACAUCAGGAGGUUAGUGCAAUGGCAUAAGCCAGCUUGACUGCGAGCGUGACGGCGCGAGCAGGUGCGAAAGCAGGUCAUAGUGAUCCGGUGGUUCUGAAUGGAAGGGCCAUCGCUCAACGGAUAAAAGGUACUCCGGGGAUAACAGGCUGAUACCGCCCAAGAGUUCAUAUCGACGGCGGUGUUUGGCACCUCGAUGUCGGCUCAUCACAUCCUGGGGCUGAAGUAGGUCCCAAGGGUAUGGCUGUUCGCCAUUUAAAGUGGUACGCGAGCUGGGUUUAGAACGUCGUGAGACAGUUCGGUCCCUAUCUGCCGUGGGCGCUGGAGAACUGAGGGGGGCUGCUCCUAGUACGAGAGGACCGGAGUGGACGCAUCACUGGUGUUCGGGUUGUCAUGCCAAUGGCACUGCCCGGUAGCUAAAUGCGGAAGAGAUAAGUGCUGAAAGCAUCUAAGCACGAAACUUGCCCCGAGAUGAGUUCUCCCUGAGACUUAGAGUCUCCUGAAGGAACGUUGAAGACGACGACGUUGAUAGGCCGGGUGUGUAAGCGCAGCGAUGCGUUGAGCUAACCGGUACUAAUGAACCGUGAGG